CUUUUCACUGGUCGUCUUACAUCCAAAGAUUUACAUAUUUUACACAGAUGGUAGUAUGAGAUGCUGGGGAUUCAAAGCCAGGAAUCUGUUUGGAGACUUUUCUUAUUGACAGAAAGUUUUCAGUUCAUGGGUACCUGGUGUUCCUUGUGUUGCUUUCCUCUGUCAGUUGCAACUCCACAUCAGGUUUAUACUGUCAACAGUAUGUCAGGUAUAUUCUGGCAAAAUACUUACGGUUUAUUUUGUCAACAUGACUCAAGGUUUAUUUUGUCAAUACUUCUCAAGGUUUGUUGUUGCACCAUUACCUUAAACAUAUUCUGUUAACACUACUCCAGAUGUAUUCUUGCAACAUUAAUUCAGGUUUAUUCUUCCAACACUGCACCAGCUGUAUUCUGCCAACACUACUCCAGGUUUAUUCUUCCAACACUACUCCAGCUGUAUUCUGCCAACACUACUCGAGCUGCAUUCUCCCAACACUACUCCAGCUGUAUUCUGUCAACACUACUCCAGCUGCAUUCUGCCAACACUACUCCAGCUGUAUUCUGCCAACACUACGCCAGAUUUAUUCUCCCUGUACUACUCCAGGUUUAUUCUUCCAACACUACUCCAGGUUUAUUCUGCCAACACUACUCCAGCUGUAUUCUGCCAACACUACUCCAGCUGUAUUCUACCAACACUACUCCAGGUUUAUUCUGCCAACACUACUCCAGCUGUAUUCUGCCAACACUACUCUAGGUUUAUUCUCCCAACACUACUCCAGCUUUAUUCUUCCAACACUACUCCAGCUGUAUUCUGCCAACACUACUCCAGCUGAAUUCUGCCAACACUACUCCAGGUUUAUUCUGCCAACACUACUCCAGCUGUAUUCUGCCAACACUACUCCAGCUGUAUUCUGCCAACACUACUCCAGCUGUAUUCUGCCAACACUACUCCAGCUGAAUUCUGCCAACACUACUCCAGGUUUAUUCUGCCAACACUACUCCAGCUGUAUUCUACCAACACUACUCCAGGUUUAUUCUGCCAACACUACUCCAGCUGUAUUCUGCCAACACUACUCUAGGUUUAUUCUCCCAAAACUACUCGAGCUGUAUUCUCCCAACACUACUCCAGGUUUAUUCUGCCAACACUACUCCAGCUGUAUUCUGCCAACACUACUCCAGGUUUAAUCUGCUAAAACUACUCCAUGUUUAAACUGCCAACACAACACAUGGUAUAAACACCAACACCAAUUCAGGUUCAGUCUGCUAAGACAACUUCGGGUUCAAACUGUCAGUACUACUCCAGGUUUAAUCUGCCAACACCACUCCGGGUUCAAACUGCCAAUACUACUCCAGGUUUAAUCUGCCAACACUACUCCGGGUUCAAACUGCCAAUACUACUCCAGGUUUAAUCUGUCCCACGUGUCUUGAGCAAUGAAAACAAAGGAAAUUGGACAUCUGAAUAUAAAACUGUAAAUGAGUACAGACAAACCAAUAUCCACAAGUAUGCAAACGGUUUCACUUCUAAUGUAUAUCGCUCCAGCGUUGUACAAGUGACCGUGAGGGAAUUGCCUUACAAUGAUAUCUCCUGGGAGCAACCAUGAUGUACAAGGCAGACACCAUCGUAAGACUGAUGACAUCUGACGGUCAUAAACCCGACAGUCCCAGAACUUUAAGUCUUCAGAAUUUAGCUAAUACAAGAGACAAUUGUUGAAAUUCAGAAUUGGAUACGAUAAUCUGGCCGUAAAAAACAUAGAAGUAACAUUCACAUUGAUAGUGCAGAUAAACUUUGUUAUGAAUGUCGCUUGAAGUGCGUAUAUUGAUAUGUUACCCUUUGUAUUAGAAUUAUAUAACAAUGUCUCUUUUGAGUUUAUUAGAUGCAGGUGCUUAAUAUCAACAUUGUUUGCAGCUUUCAGGAGGUCCAUACUAAAUUGUAUUUACAAUUGUGGACAUGCUGUUUCCCAUAUAUAUGUUCACUAUCACAUGUCCGUCAUAUGAUCACGUGGUUUUUUUUUAAAUAUUCAAUGUUUAAUCAGAAUGUAUGUUACUUUUUCCCUCUGAAUCAACACUUAAUUCAUAUAUUAUGAAAGUAUCUUUUUUAAAACCAAUUUGUAACCAAACUUUAAGACUUUUUUCCACAUGACAAAAGAUCAGCCUUCAUUAACUUUAACUUGAAAAGAAUAAAAAGUCCAAGGCAUUAUUCAUAAUUUCAUAUUA
rnacentral:misc_RNA from 1 species